AUUGAACGCUGGCGGCAUGCUUUACACAUGCAAGUCGAACGGUAACAGGCCGAAAGGUGCUGACGAGUGGCGAACGGGUGAGUAAUGCAUCGGAACGUGCCCAGUCGUGGGGGAUAACGCAGCGAAAGCUGCGCUAAUACCGCAUACGAUCUAUGGAUGAAAGCGGGGGACCGUAAGGCCUCGCGCGAUUGGAGCGGCCGAUGUCAGAUUAGGUAGUUGGUGGGGUAAAGGCUCACCAAGCCAACGAUCUGUAGCUGGUCUGAGAGGACGACCAGCCACACUGGGACUGGGACACGGCCCAGACUCCUACGGGAGGCAGCAGUGGGGAAUUUUGGACAAUGGGCGCAAGCCUGAUCCAGCAAUGCCGCGUGCAGGAAGAAGGCCUUCGGGUUGUAAACUGCUUUUGUACGGAACGAAACGGUCUGGGUUAAUACCUCGGGCUAAUGACGGUACCGUAAGAAUAAGCACCGGCUAACUACGUGCCAGCCGCCGCCGUAAAAC
rnacentral:rRNA from 1 species